AUUCACUGUUAAGAGCUCUGU
rnacentral:misc_RNA from 1 species